rnacentral:rRNA from 1 species
GACGAACGCUGGCGGCGUGCUUAACGCAUGCAAGUCGAACGGAAAGGCCCUGCUUUUGUGGGGUGCUCGAGUGGCGAACGGGUGAGUAACACGUGAGUAACCUGCCCUUGACUUUGGGAUAACUUCAGGAAACUGGGGCUAAUAUCGGAUAGGAGCUCCUGCUGCAUGGUGGGGGUUGGAAAGUUUCGGCGGUUGGGGAUGGACUCGCGGCUUAUCAGCUUGUUGGUGGGGUAGUGGCUUACCAAGGCUUUGACGGGUAGCCGGCCUGAGAGGGUGACCGGCCACAUUGGGACUGAGGUACGGCCCAGACUCCUACGGGAGGCAGCAGUGGGGAAUAUUGCACAAUGGGCGGAAGCCUGAUGCAGCAACGCCGCGUGCGGGAUGACGGCCUUCGGGUUGUAAACCGCUUUCGCCUGUGACGAAGCGUGAGUGACGGUAAUGGGUAAAGAAGCACCGGCUAACUACGUG